GGGCCCGUGGCUCAGUCAGGUUAGAGCGGAGGACUCUUAAUCCUUAGGUCGCGGGUUCAAUUCCCGUCGGGCCCGCCA
rnacentral:tRNA from 1 species